rnacentral:misc_RNA from 1 species
UACGGAGGGGGCUAGCGUUGUUCGGAAUGACUGGGCGUAAAGCGCGCGUAGGCGGAUCAGAAAGUUGGGGGUGAAAUCCCGGGGCUCAACCCUGGAAUGGCCUUCAAAACUCCUGGUCUUGAGUUCGAGAGAGGUGAGUGGAAUUCCGAGUGUAGAGGUGAAAUUCGUAGAUAUUCGGAGGAACACCAGUGGCGAAGGCGGCUCACUGGCUCGAUACUGACGCUGAGGUGCGAAAGCGUGGGGAGCAAACAGG